UGUGGGAGCGGGCUUGCUCGCGAUGGCAGCACUGCGGUUUAUCUGACGACCGCAUCGUUUGCAUCGCGAGCAAGCCCGCUCCCACA
rnacentral:misc_RNA from 1 species